CUGCUUUCUAUUUAUGCUUCUUUCUCCCCUCCUGUGUUCUGUUAGAUUUAUUACAUUUUCGUCAUUAUUUUUUCCUCCACAGGUGUGGAGGUUAUACAAGCAGUUUCAGUCAUUUUAGUGGCCACCUUAGAGGUUUCACGUUGCGUUUUAGGCCCAGGGCAUUGUCUCUAGCUAUCUCCUGUGCGGUGCUGGGAGUGCAGGGCCCUGUGGCUCACAUCCCCUCGUCCUUGUGGGGUCUGCGGGUCUGGAGUUCGGGCUUCACUUUGUUUUUUCACCCUUGUCCAGGCCGGGCUCCCGUAAGCAGAUACUGAGACGAGGACUCAAAGGGACAGUUUUUUUGGGGGAAUUCCAGGAAGCCACCGUGGGGCAGCUGGAGGUGAUGAGGGUGGGAAGGGGCCAGCCCAGGGCUGAGCAGAUGACACUGUGUGCAAGGGGCCAUGGCUCCGGUGUUCACCCCAUCACUGUUGCUUGCCCUGGGCUCUGCUGAGGAGGCCUCAGGCAGAAGCUGCACAAGGAAGGGAACGGCAGGAGAAGCCGGGAGCCGUGAAGUCCUUUUCCUACUGAGCCCGUGCUCCAGGCCCAAGGGAGCCCUGUGGGUCCAGACCCCGUAGAUGCCGCAGCAGCACCGGGUCCACUCGACCGCAGCGAGGUUCCGGCUGCAGCUCCACCCUCAGAGCCAACCUCAUGCUACCAGGGCAGCCUCGAUUGGUGGCAGUUACCUGGUCCAUCCCUCUGCCCUUCCAAC
rnacentral:lncRNA from 1 species